AAAGCUAUUAAAAAUGGGAAACUCAUGAUCCAGCUGACAAUUUUUGAAGGUUCAAAAACCAGUUGGAAAAAAAAAUUCAAGCUCUCCGCAACAAAUAUGCAGAAUCUAGACGACAGCAUGAACAAAUGAGCUACAAUAAAGCAAUGGCUAUGAAACAGAAUCCAUAAUAAACAAUCUCCUGCCAGUGACUAGAUAAAGAUGUUCCUAAACAUAUAUUUUAGAGGUUCUGAAGAGAUAUAAGGCGGUAGGGCCAACACUACAAUGCUUUGCAUAAGGGAAAAAAGUCCUCAAUGCAGCUUUGAUUGCUAACAAAAUGGUUUAUACUAAAAUUUGAGAGGGGAGUUGUACAAUCUCCUGAACUGGGGGUUGGUCAUUUUUAUUAGGGAGAAGAUGGGCUAUAGGAAUCAAGAAUCAUCAAAAGAAAGGGAUGAUGCAACAUAUUUCACCGUUAAUAAUUUUCAUAUGGGAGUACUUCAAUAGGAGACAAGAAUAUCCCUCAUCUCUCUGUAUCGUUCAGUGGGGUAAAAGACUGAAGGAGGUAUUUAGCAGGAUGUUAAGAGUUACAAUAGAAGAUACUUCAUUGGGUUUCUUUUAGCAAGAAGAGAUUUUGCAUUUCUUUUUUGAUAUUAAUAACAACAAACUCCAAUUGCAGUGCAUUAGUUUAUGUCUUGAAGUGGUUUCUACGCUUAAGAGUUAAUUUGAGAAACAAUGCGAUGAUCCCUCUGCUGAAGUGUUGAUAGGAACCAUUUGAAGAAAAUAUUGGGUCGUGAGAUGUAAUGCCUUGCUAUUUAGUAUUUUUUGACAAUCCUCUAGUGAAUCAACUUCAACACAAGGCACAUCUAUAAGUCUUGAAAUAUAUUUUAUCUGUUUUGACAUACGGAGAUUAUCAGAGCAUAGAAGUAAAUAGAGAGCUUCAGACAGGCUGUUGUGAAUCCUGUCUUAACAAUUAAUUAUAUUCCAACAAUAGUCAGAUUAUUACCAUAGACGCAAACAACUAUUACAACUAAAACCAU
rnacentral:misc_RNA from 1 species